AGCCGAGAUAGCUCAUUCGG
rnacentral:tRNA from 1 species